rnacentral:misc_RNA from 1 species
CAGAGUUCAUGCCCUCACGGGUAGAUCUCCCACCCUUGAAUAUUUUAUACCUUUGUUGCUUUGGCGGGCCGCUUCGGCUACCGGCUUCGGCUGGUGAGUGCCCGCCAGAGGACCCCUAAACUCUGAAUGUUAAUGUCGUCUGAGUAUUAUAAAAUAAUUA